rnacentral:rRNA from 1 species
AAGUCGUAACAAGGUUUCCGUAGGUGAACCUGCGGGAAGGAUCAUUGUCGAAAAUUGCURAGCAGAGCGACCCGCGGACAUGUCGAAAUAAAUCGUCGGGGGCACGGCGCCCUCGACUGCCGGCCGAGCCCGCACCUUACAGCCUGCUCCAGGAGCGGCGGUGGGGGUGCCGGGCCAGGCUUGGCACGAGAACGAACCCCGGCGCGGAUCGCGCCAAGGAGGAGUAACAUAGCGCGCGUUGCCCUGCCGCCGGAUGCCCGGCGGGCGAGGUGGCGACCCGUCGUGUCUGAACGACUCUCGGCAACGGAUAUCUCGGCUCUCGCAUCGAUGAAGAACGUAGSGAAAUGCGAUACUUGGUGUGAAUUGCAGAAUCCCGCGAACCAUCGAGUCUUUGAACGCAAGUUGCGCCCGAAGCCUCUAGGCUGAGGGCACGUCUGCCUGGGCGUCACGCAUAGCGUCGCCCCCGGCCAAGCCACCGCGUGCUUGGUUGGGGCGGAGAGUGGCCUCCCGUGCGCUGUCGUGCGGUUGGCCUAAAACCGGAGCUYGGCGACUGCGCCGCGACGUUCGGUGGUYGGCAAGGCGAAGGCCAAGGUUGCCUCGCGUCGCGGYCGGCACGUCGCCCGUGAAGCUCGCACGACCCCGCCGCGYGGUCCGUACGGCACCAACGCAGCGACCCCAGGUCRGGCGGGGCUACCCGCUGAGUUUAA